UACAACUCUGAGCGGUGGAUCACUCGGCUCGUGUGUCGAUGAAGAGUGCAGCCAACUGUGUGAAUUAAUGUGAACUGCAUACUGCUUUGAACAUCGACAUCUUGAACGCACAUUGCGGCCAUGGGCUAGCUCAUGGCCACGCCUGUCCGAGGGUCGGCUUA
rnacentral:rRNA from 1 species